rnacentral:lncRNA from 1 species
GGGUUGAAAUAGCACCCUAGAAGGAAAAGGGGGAAUAUCAGGCUAUGAUAAAGUGAGGAGGAGGUGCAUGCAGCAUACAUAUAUUUUUCAAUGCUUAAACGCAUUUUGCAAAAGUUUUUUGCUGAUCUCCUUAAGUUUACUACUGGUCACAAGGAGCAGACAUCACCAUGAAGGAUUUUAGUGUUUUUCUAGAUAUAGGGAGAUAUAAGAAUUGGGCACAUAAAAUCUUCUCCUAAAAAUAUCUGUCUGCAGAUCUGUUCUUCCAGUUUUCCCAGAGCACAGAGUGCCUCGCUCCUGAUGUUCACCCUGAGAUCUGCUCAGGGGUGUUGUGUGUCAGCAGCUGUAGUGGAUCAUAAUUUAAUCCAUGUAGAGGCUGAUGGCAAGUGCCAAACUUCACUUCACGUAUGUAAAGUGUAAGGAAAGGGACACUAUGCACGGAUUAAUGAACACUGUCUUUGGGGGUUUUUCGGAGUCUGAUGUAACUGAACCAAGGACAGUGGGCUGGAUACCAGAGUUGAAAUACAGUGGAGAAAGGGCUAGAGGGCUUUAGUCCAUAGAGAAGGGCUUUAGCCUUCUCUAUAAAGGCUUCUCUAUGAAGGCAAGAGGGCCUUAGCUAAAGGCUUCUCUUUGAAGGGCUAAAGGGCUAAAUGGCUAAAGGGCUUUAGCCCUUCAAAGAGAAAGGACUAAAGCCUGAGACUAAAAUUGGACACAUUUGUCACUGGUGGAUAUAUCAUCUCUGUCUUGGCCCUGACUCCAACUAAAUAGCGGAAAUCAAUCAUUGAUAGAUUCAUUCAACAAAAAUUUACAGCGUCUGUAUGUGUAAGGUACUGAGCUGCUUGAUUAAAGAGUAAAUGUAGCAUAGCAAGACAUAUGCAUAUCAGGAGAAUUGUAUUUAAAACACCUUUUAAAAAACCUCUGUUGACAACUAUCUUCUUUAGAUACACACAGGGAUUUUGUGUGUGUGUGUUAUGUACAUGUGUGAUUUUAAUUUUUAGUUUUUAAUUCUGUUACAAAUAUGAUGGUCAAGUUUUUUGUUUUUUUUUGUUUUUUCCUUACAAGGUGUUGAGAGAUAUUGACUUGGUGAUUUCAGAUGCUAUUGGUUUGGGAAGGUCCAUUCUAAACUGUAAAAACACAUAUAAUGUUUUGCUGACAUGUAUAAGUAGUUGCAGAGUCACUGUCUCAAAAUUUUUCUUAUUCUUCAUCUGUCCUCCCAUCUUUGAGGUCAGCUAGCUGAUUGUGUGACUGAAAUCAGAGAAACCUCAAGUAAUGUAUAUUUGAAGGCAGGUGUUUUAUUUAACCCUGGAUGAUUCAGUCUUAGAUGAUUUUAUUACAUGACAGUCACUGAACCUUCAAAUUUCAUGUAACUCUGUAGUUAUUGUUUUAUAAAUAAAAUCAUUGAGAAGAGUUUCAUUCUACUAGGGGCCACUGUGAGAUGUAGCAAAAAAAAAAAAGUUGGUGGACCAUGGACAGGUAAAUUUUAUAUUUUAAAAAAAGCUGAUUUAUGUUUAUUCUAAUUUUGUUGAAGUUUGUGUUUUCAUGUUAUUAUUUGAUUUUAUAAAACAUAAAUUAGAACCAAAUGUCCUUUGUUUCACAUACAUAAGUUUAAAGAUAAAAGAAGCAUUUAUCUUAUUAGCAAUUGGUGCUAUGCAUCUAAACUAAGAAGCCCAACUUUACUGUAAGACACUUUAUUUUUAAGUCUUUUGGCAACAUAGGUGAAAUAAUAAUUCAAUUUUAUGAGCUUUGGGAAAGACUGAGGUAACAUUUUGGAUGAAUGUGGCUUAAAGGGGAAAUCAAAUUUAUUUUGUCCACCUCGAUGUGCCAGCUAAGAAAUUAGGUGGAAUAUUGAUUUUGGAAAAUUGAGUCAUACUCUUUUUAUGAUAAAUGAAAGAAAAGAGAUGGAUGGAAGGAAGGAAGCAAGGUAGGUAGGAAGGAAGGAAGGGGAGAGAGGGAGAGAAAGAGGAAGGAAGGAAGGAAGGAAGGAAGGUUGAAGAAAAGAAGGAAGAAAACCUUAAAAUAACUUAUUACGUAGAGGACCGUUAAGAUCUGGAUAUCUUUACUUUUUUGAGCAUAAUAAUUGGAAAAAAAUAAAGCAAAAAAUGUGUCAGAGUUGAUUGGCAUUAUAUACAGAAAUACCAGAAGAGUGUAUAAUGAGGCUGAGAAUGCAGAACUAACGAAGAAGUAUUAUAGCAGGAAAGAAAAAGGAAGACCGGUGUGGGAAACUGGAGAUGAAGAAAAAGUAGCUAGUGAGGAGAUCAGACAAUUUCUCUAACCCUCCAGGAACUAAACACACAAAGGAGCCCAAUUAGGAAUAAACUAGCUAGAAGGAAUAUUUCAUAAUAAAUUGGGGAUUAUCAGUUUGCCUAAAGGGAAUGAAAUCAGAGCAUUGGAGCCUCCUUAUUUCAGAACCAAAUGCUUUAUUUUUUAAAUUUUUUGAUACAAAUGUUCUUGCUUUUCAUAUCGUAAAUUAAAAAAAAAAUCAUGUGUGAAACAAAUGAACAACUAACCAAACUUUCUGAUUUCUGAGAGAAGAAUCAUUUUCACUUGAACCAUGGAUAAAAGGAGAUAUUGAAAAUAUUUGUCCAGAUCUUUUUUUUGUCAAUGCCAGGUUACUGUAAUGUAUUCUCUGGGUAUUCACAGAUUUCUUGGAGACUUUUCAUUUGCCAGUUUCACUGACAGCUUCUCCAGAUAUAGGUAACAUAUACUCAGUGUAUAGAAACCUGAAACUUGAUCUUGACAGACUCUAAAAGAAUAAUUCAGAGUCAUUUCUGAUUGCUUAAAUAAGUUAAUUUGAAACAAUAGCAAAAUGUUUUAAACAGAAAAGUGGUCAAUACUUCUGCCGACAAUGCUUCUGUUCCCGGAUCUUUUAUCAUGUCAGUUCUGAGUACUGCCAGCCACUAAAUAAACCGAAGGAAAACAAAGAAUACCAUCAGUGUUCAGUAACUUAGAUAUUUUUAUUAUCCCUGCGAAAUAAGUGACCCUGUGAAUAAGAACAGUGUGGUUUCUCAUCCUCCUCUUCAGGAUACAUUUUGUUGUUUCUUUAAAACAAUAUAUUACAAUAGAGGAUGUUUUUGAUGAUCCUCUAUUCUGAAGUCUGUGGUUCUCCACACCGCCAAUGGCACACAAAAUGUUUAGUCUUUCAUGGCUGUUUCUGAUUUUUCUGGGGGUAAGACUGGCAUCUUACUUUGAAAGACUAUAGGCUGUCAACUCUAAACACCAGAGAGUGACCUAGACAAGGUUUGAAGAAUUCACUGCAUUGUCUUAAAACCAUUAGCUGGGUAUAUUUAUGCACAAAUAUUUAUUGAGCAUCUGGUAUUUUGGCUGGGUGCUUAGGGACAAAACCUGAAAUGUAAUACAUUCUUCAGCCACAAAGAAAUCACAAGUAAGCAAAUGAUUACAAUAGAGCGUGAUAAAGGCAAGGAGAACAAAGUUUGAAGGAGAAACUAGUAGGUAGUUUGGAGGGAAAGGAGAAAAUCAGAGUAGGAUUCCUAGAAAAGCAGGAGACUUGUGAUCUGAGUCUUAGAAAGCAAAUAGAAAAUUGAAAUUAACUACUUGAAGGUGAGUUUUGGGAGGGAAGUGGGAUAAGAAUUAAUGUUUAACAUUACAUUCCUGAAGGAGUAUCUGUCAUUCACUGUUUCAUUUAGCAAAUAUAUAUUGAACAACUACAAUGUUGCUUGGCUGAACUCUCCGGAAUAACAAUGAACAGGAAAAAAAAAAAAAUUGACUCUGAGUGGAUCUUUCAUUCUUGAGGGUAGACAGACAAGACACAAAUAAUUACAAUAUAAGCUACCACUCAUAAAGUACACACUAUGUGCCAGAUAUUAUUCUCAGGCUUUAUAUAAAACCACCGAUUUCAAAUUUGUUAACAACCCAUUGAGAAAGCUUCUGCUAUUAUUGAAUAAACUGGGGAAUAGUCAGUCUACUCAUGUUACUCAUAGAGUGAUGGGCUGGGUGUCAAAACUAGGCAACUUGGACUUGGGGUUUAUUCCUUCAAGUACUAUAGUAGAUUGCCUAUCAAAAUAAAUAAAUGAAUAUGUAAUAUCACCUUGGGAUGUGGGAAGAAACAUGAGGAAAAAGAAAACUGAGUAAGCAGAGAAGGUGUUGGAAGGGAAUAUGCUGUUUUCAAUAGCAGAGCAGACACUGUCAGUUCUUUGAAUAUACCUCUUGGUCCUUAAGUGGGACAAGGCCAACCUCCAACUACUAGAAGGAACUGCAUGUCUUUGAGAUUUUUUUUUUUGAAGUCAGAGAAAGGCUUCUCUAGUCUGGAACAAGGCAGAAGCGAAGUGGGGGAGACUUAACACCCUUAGAAUAGCUGUCAAACAAUCAUUUUCAGAACUUGAUCUACAACCAUCCUCAGCUUCCUGAGCCCUCAUGAAGGAUGGCUCCAAAGAAUGUUCUAGACUGUUCACCAGACAUCUUUUUGUUUGUUUGUUUUAUAUGUUUGUUUCUGUAGAAUUGAGCUCAGUAGGCCCACAGUGGUGGCUGGCCUAGCCCCACACUCUUUAUUGGCUCUGUGCUUUUCCUGUCUCAUUUCUUCACCCUUGCAUGCAUGUUUCCCUUUACCUCCCAAAUGGACAUUUAUCCUUAAAUCCCUGCCUUAGAGUCUGCCUUUAGGAAAGCCUAAACUAAGAUAAAUUGGCUGAUCAAGAAAUGUGUCUCUGAGGGACAUUUGUGGGGAAGAGCUUUCUGGGUAGAGGAAGCUGUACAUGCCAGGAACAUGAGAAGGGCAUCAGCAAGGCAUCUGUGACUGUCUGGAGUAAGGACAGGGAGUAUGUAAGAAAUGAGUUUGAGAAGUAGGUGGGGACCAGGUAGUAGAGAACUUU